rnacentral:lncRNA from 1 species
AGCUUUCUAAAAUCUCUUUAGGGGUGUGCGUAGGCUCCUGUGUCUAUGCCUGCUUUUGACUGCCCAGUUGAAGCCUCUUCCUAUGCCUUUUAAAAUUUCACGCACUAUAAGGAGGAAGAGCUCAGGGCUCCCAAAACUUUUUAUUUAGAGGGAAGAAUGCUAGGGAGAUGGGUAUGCAGAGGGUUGACCAAAUUGGAAGAAAAUAUUUAUUCUGUAGUUUGGUGUUGGAAAAGGGAAUUUUCCAAUCAGCCACACCUCAGUGUUGCGGCAAAAUAAUUCUUGGCUCCCCUGGAAACGCAUGGGCAAGGUAGGGCAGAGCUGCUGCUGCUGAUACUGCCACCACCCUGGGCUUCCUGCUGACUCUGGGCUACUCCCUGGGGACAACAGAUUUGCAUUGACGUCCGGGGCUGUCCAGAGGCCCUCAAGAGCCAGUUGUGAGCUGAGCCCAGUAUGGGAAAGAUCUACCUUCUGGAAGCUACUACUACGUGGUGCUUGGAAAGAUGACUCAGUGUAUCGGGAGCCGGGAGAUGGAGCUCUCAGCAGAGUGGCCAGGAUGUUCUGUCAACAUGAAAGCUACAAAAACAGCUCGGGGCUCUGAGCUGAUCCUUAGCCUGGGGUCAUUUUCAGGGAGGGCUGGACAGAGAAGGCGGCCACCGCCCGGGCAUCAGGAUGGGAGCGACACCAGAGGACUCAGGAGAGUGCAGCUUGCUCUGUGAGUGGGUGACAACCUCUUGGCGACUCAGGCUCAGCUGAGGAUGGUGCCAGUGUGCCGGAGACAGCCGUCAUACUGCCGGAUAGAGUGGCUCACUUGCAUGUAUUUGGAACAAAAAAAGGAGAUGCCUGGCAGCCCCGCUCUCUGCAGUGCUGUUGAGCCACCAAUUUUUGUGGUUUUGUGACCACAAGUGCUGACUGAUGCGACAUGACCCCAGUCUUGUCAGUGAAUCAUCACCAGGCUGCUUACUGGAAACUGGAUGCAGCAAGGAAAUAGGAUUUAACCGCUCUCUGCCUCCCAGGAGCCCUGAAAUCAGCAUUCCCAGAGGAAAGAAGAUGGCCAUCUGGGCUUGGCUUCCGGCUCCCCCCAUCUGGCUGGAACACACAUCAGUCACCCCUGUGUAACCUCCUCUGUGCCUUUCCCAUGGAGCACUGUGUCAUAUCACAAGUAGAACUACAAGAAGAUAUUUCUCCUCAGGGCAGAGGCUGGGUCUUCCGAUUGAAUCUCCCUUCUUUCUUCAUUGAGAUCCUCUUCUUCUGGAAGCUGGUUUCACAUGGUGGCUUAGAUUUUUCCAUCUUUGUAUCUAGCACCAUUUGAAAUCAGUGUUUUAGGAGUAAGAAUUGCAGCACAGCCAAGGGUGGACUGCAGAGGAACUGCUGCUCAUGGAACUGGCUCCUCUCCUCUUGCCACUUGAGUCUGUUCGAGAAGUCCAGGGAAGAACUUGAAGAGCAAAAUACACUCUUGAGUUUGUUGGGUUUUGGGAGAGGUGACAGUAGAGAAGGGGGUUGUGUUUAAAAUAAACACAGUGGCUUGAGCAGGGGCAGAGGUUGUGAUGCUAUUUCUGUUGACUCCUAGCAGCCAUCACCAGCAUGAAUGUGUUCGUAGGGCCUUUGAGUGUGGCGAUUGUCAUAUUCUGUUGGAUAACAAUGUAUUGGGUGUCGAUUGUCAUGGGGCAGGGGAGAGGGCAGUACACCUGGAGGACCAUUUUGUCCACAUCGACACCAUCAGUCUGCUCUUAGAGGAUGCCCUGGAGUAUUCGGCGUUGAUUGCGGGGCACCCGAAAUCAGACUUGCCACCUGGACUGUCGAGGUGCAGACCCUGGGAGCACCACUGGCCCAUCUCUUACACAGGCUGACCGAUUUCUCCUGGUGUUCAGAGUCUGUUUUUGUCUAGCACCAUUUGAAAUCGGUUAUGAUGUAGGGGGAAAAGCAGCAGCCUCGAAGCCUCAUGCCAACUCUGGGCAGCAGCAGCCUGUGGUUUCCUGGAAGAUGGAUGGGCAGAGAAUAGGGAAGGAAGAUCAUGCUUUUCCCUACUAACUUCUGUAACUGCAUGUAUGAUACAUUAUUGCAGAGGUAAGAGAUAGUUUAAUGGAUUUUUAAAAACAAAUUACUAUAAUUUAUCUGAUGUUCUCUAGUUGCAUUUUGCUGAAAUGUAGUGCUGUUCUAAAUUCUGUAAAUUGAUUGCUGUUGAAUUAUCUUUCUGUUGAGAAGAGUCUAUUCAUGCAUCCUGACCUUAAUAAAUACUAUGUUCAGUUU